rnacentral:lncRNA from 1 species
CGGUAGCAUACCCCUUAAUAACUAAAUAUAUAAUAAGUUGAACAUUUUAAACGAAAGACAAGAAUAGUUAAGAGUCAGACAUGGCCCCUGUACAUAUCUGGCCAUGUUAGGUUAAGAAAAAUAAGAAAUAAAAAUAAUAAUAAUUAAGAAAAAUAUAUCCCGAUGAUACACUGGGUAUUAAGUAAAUAAAUAGAUAAUAAGUUGUACACAUGUCAAACGAAACAAGUCUCAUAAAUAGUUAAGAGUCACACAUGGCCUCUGUACAUAUCUGGCCAUGUUAGGGUAAUAAAUAAGGGGGAGUUCAUAAAAUACGUGAGAUAUUUAAGAGGGCGUCGAGCCAAAUCUCAUCUAAUCUUACGUUAGAGAUAGGGUCUCGACAAAUAUCAUACAAUUUUUUUUGUACACAGUACAGACAUGAAAGAAGUAGACGUUACAUAAAAUAGUACAAGUGUACCUUCUGCUUAUGUCUCAUGAAAUCUCUUCGAGCAGACUCGUAAUAGGAGAGUUUUUUCUGAAUGAAACAAAAAAAAUGAAAGUGAGAGGAGGCCUGUGCCCAGCAGUGGGACGAUAAAAAGGCUGUAACAGAAACAAAAAAAAGUUAUACCACUUUGGUCCAUUUAAUCCAGAUUGAGAUGAUUGCUUAAGAUUUAACGUUAAGCGUAAUCGUAAAACAAUUAAGAUCAUUCCCUAAUUCGUUCGAAAGAAAACAAUUGCAUUCAUACUUCGACGUUAUAGAAUAGAGGUACAUCUACUGAAGCCAUUUUUUUCUUUUUACAGUAAUAAUCUAACGCGUUUACGUAAGAAACCCACAUUUUGAAAAGUCUCACUUGAGAUUGGGGGAAGGGGGAGGGGAUUGAAUAAAAUCUCACGACAUUUCACCAAUGGGGGAGGCAGGGACAGAAAAUUGAGACAAAACAUGUCACGUAAUUUAUAAACGCCCCAUAGAUAAUAAGUUUGACAUUUCAAUGAAAACAAGCGACAUGAAUAGUUAAGAGUCAGACAUGGCCCCUGUAAAUAUCUGGCCAUGCUAGGUUAAGGAAAAUAUAUCCCGACGCUAAACUGGGUAUUAACUAGUAUUUAGAUUUAAAAUAUAUUUUAUAUAUAGGUAGAUAAUAUAUUAAGGAGCAUAAGUUGAUUGCAUUAUUGAAAAUGGAUUGCAUUAUCUGAAUAAAAAUUUAUUAUAAGUAGUUUAGAUUAGUACCGACUACUAAGAUAAGCAAAUAAUUUUAAAAUUAUGUUAAUUUAGUGGAAACUAGCAAGUUUUAUGUGGCAAGUUGUAUUGCAUGUGUACCAUAACUUAUAUUUGCUUAAUACGAAAACACUACAUAAUAUUGAAUGUCUUGUAAUACCAUUUUUCAAUUAACGGUCAUCAAUUUGUUUUCUCUGAAUAAAAAAUAUACUUGCAGACAGUACAGCCAACUGGUGUCAUAAAACUUGCUAUACAAUAAUUAUAAUAAUUUACUUAGCAAUAAAUUAAAAAUUACUAUUUAGCAGCGAAGUGUGAUCCGCUCGACAAUGAACAACUACACGAAUGACAUAAAAAUAAAUGAUAAGAAAACACACGUAACUUGUAACAUAUAACCUUACGUGUUAGCUGUUAUUUAGAAUAUCACACACACACACACACUCAUUCACUCACUCAUACACAAACACACACACGCCAUAAAUAUAACUCGAAAUAAUAAUUCGUGCUUCGGAGGGCACGUUAAGCCGUCGGUCCCGGCAGGCACGCGAGCACCUGUGCAGCCGUAACUCGGCUCCAAGGAUCGGGGACCUUCGGGGACCUGCCUAGAGCCUCGAGUUCUAAGCCUGAUCCGGACCCCGUUGCUCCCAAUAAUGGGUAUCGGACUGACGACUGUGAUUAGUCUGUGUAAUGACGGCGAUGGGGUCUAUUGAUGCCUAAAGCUCCGUGUAUGUGGUUCUAAUGUUAAUAGGGGAUAAACGACCUUAUUUUUUUUACAGUUUUUGGUAAUUUAAACACGUUGAUUUGUUAAGCGAUCUUGUAUUUUUAAUUUCAGGCAGAAAAACGGAGUUUUUUUUAUUUCAGUGUACACUUAUGUUCAACAAUGUUUUUAUUGAAACUUACGUGCUUAUUCUUUUGUGAUUUAUCUAUUUGUUAAUUACUUAAGAUCGCUUAAAACAUUCUAUUCAAAUUAUCCCUAAAAUUACAUUUUGUACUCCAUAUCCGGAUAUAAGGAUAUAAUUUACACUAUCCUAUAUUUACAGUGUUAUCUAUUAAGGUUAAUAUUAGAAUAGCUAUUAUGUAAAUCGGAUGUUGGCAUAAAAAAGGAAAUAAUGUAGGUACAUAACUGCGCGGACAAGACAGUCCAGCGUUAGGGUAAACUAGGUAAGAUAGAUAGUUCGUUUCAUUUCUUCAUUUUAAAGUAUAUUAAUUUUAAUAUGAGUUUAACAGUCCAAAUACCGGGCUCAAAGCGACUAAUGUAACUUUUACAAUAUGAUUUAGUUUGGUUUUACAAUUUAUGUAUACUCAUUUGAAAUCAAGGUCCGUAGCCCUAUUGCGGAGGCAGAGUGGCAAACUAUGUGUGUGCUGGCAGUAGUAACAUCUGAGGGGUGCUGCCGUGCAAAUGGUGUGUGUACUGAUUGUAAGAUCUUGUGUUGCCGUCGUGUGUCAUUGCUAUCUUCGCACGAGUAGGCGCUGCGAUACUUGCCACUCUGUACUCACUACAUUAAAAUCAAUAACCAUUUCUAAAAGCAUUGUAACAAUAGUAAUCUGACUGAAUUAUGCCUCUUGGCCGAAAGGGAUAAUAUUUAAAGAAAUGGAUCCACGCAUUUUGUCAGGCUACGUUACCAAUACAAACCUAAUUCAUUAGCUAAACAUCGAAUUGUUCGAGUAUCUAAAUUACAAAAUAAUCAAACAAACUUAAGCUGUUUAUUUAUUAAACGUUUAUUUAUUAUAUUUUAGUUAGGUAAGGUAAAAUGUACAUAUAGACAAAACGGGAGUCUAUCCGAAACAUAACAUAACGAUCGAUGUAUAAUAAUUACAAUGGAAGUCACGUGCUAAGUUCUGUAUAUAUAGCGCGCAAUAAAUAAGUUAGCUUAUAUUUAGAUAUAUCUAAAGAGAUUCUCAUGUCAUUAAUUAAAACCGGGAAGUACUUCUACCAUACUUUUUUAACCGUGAAGCUUUGCAAACUGUUCGGAAAGUAGGGUAGCCGGUGAAAUAACCAGUACACGAGACAUUUCAGCUUUGUCUCAAAAAGGCAAUGCCUUCAACGGUGGUUUGACUAUCUGAUCCACCAUCGAGACCUUAUUUCCUAAGGUCUUGUUGUCGUCGAAAGAUCUUCGUGCUUCGGAGGGCACGUUAAGCCGUCGGUCCCAGCUGUUUUUGAACAUCUGACAGCUGUCUCCAAUAGUUUCCUCAAUAUAGAAACUUGGUACUGAUUAUAAUAGUCACACAGGAGUCAGGAAAAUGUCCUCAAGAUAUCCUGACGAGUGUGUUGAAUAAUUGAAAUACACGCAGUCAAGUGCGAAUUAAUCAUUAAUAUGUCGUGUAUUGUCAGCCGUUGAAAAGCUUGAAAGCCACGUAUAAACUGCAUGUUAAACUUAGAAUAUAGUAAAAGUAAAUUAGUCUUCCAAAAAUAUAAUAUUUUGUUGCCCAUUCUUUCGAAAUAUUCAAAUAUUCGACGUCACCUAUACUUUAAAUUUUUUUAUAACGUUCUAAUUGAUUUCGAAAAUAAGUCACGGAGUUUAACAAAAUGAUUCGUCGUGCUUCGGAGGGCACGUUAAGCCGUCGGUCCCGGCUGGCAUACGAGCACCUUUGUCAGUCGUCAAUAGGUUCUGAGGUUGCAAGACUUCAGACACUCGAAAAACUAGUCUGACUCAGAUACCGGUACUCUUACUAGCUGGGUGAAGACCUGGUGUCGGUAUCAAUACUGGACUCUGAGAACAGGCUAACCAGACAUCACAUAACAGUCAGGGAAAUGCUUUCAAAGGCAUACUGAUUGUAUGUAGGUCGCCUAAAUGUAAACACGGUAUUUAGGUAAUUAAGGUUAACAACAGGAUAGCAUUCCCAAAGUGGGUCUCAGGGUCUAAACAGGUCUUUAAAUGGCGUUCUUAAAGCUUAAAAGAACUAAGGAAGUAAUAUAAUUCAAUACAUUUUCAUUACCAAAUAUUCGUGUUUAUGACAAUCCUGCGUGUGUAUGCAUUUGCUUCGUAUAAGUAUAGGUAGUAUUAGGAACAAUUAGUUAUGUAUUAGUCGGUCAGGUCGGCAAAUUAGUACUUAGGUAUAUUAUAAAGUUGGAUUCAGAAAUUGCUAAGCAUGCGCCACAAACGGAAUACCUUGGCUUUGAAGAAUUUUACCAACAUAUGCUCAGGUCAAUGUUUGAAUCCAUCUUUACGUGCUUCGGAGGGCACGGUAAGCCGUCGGUCCCGGCUGUCACACUAACACCAGACAGUCGUUACAGGUAGGCACGUACUACCCACAACUAGGUUGACUGGGACAACGGUACUCCCACUAAAUGGGGAUUUCUGUCCUCACUGGAGGGUUACGGAGGGCAGACGACGGCUCGCGCCAGUCACUUCGUGUAAAACACUGGAGUCCUAAGUUACCCAGUUAUUAGUCACAUGCGAAUCAGGGAAAUGUUAAACAUACUGACUCGCAUGCAGGCUACACUUUAUACACAAUAUUAAUGCGAUUAAUGAACACGUUGACAUUCAUUUGUUAAUAGUAAUUAAUUCAUUAGUACUUGUGUAUAGAGAUUGAGAACGUAAAGCCGUAAGAAAGCUAGUUUUGCAAGUUUCCAAGUUAAUGACUGCAUUAGUAGGUAAGUUUUUAGUUUAUUUAUUUACAUUACAAAAUUGAAGGUUUUAAGAGGUUUUUGGGCGUACUUUGUUAUUUAAAAAUCUUUUUUGUUAAUAAUUUGUGUGAUUUUAUUUUUUUACUCAUUCAUUGCAAAAACAGCUUCUUUAUCUUUACAUUACGUUUACUUCGAUGAAACAUGUUCACAUAAAAAGGUUGCUGUCGCUGUAUUGGACUAACGUUCUAGCGACAGCACAUACAUGUAGUCUUGGGCAUCAUCAUCACGUUUGUUUACAAUGAGUUGAGUGGAACGAUGUGUAAACGUCUUAGUACAUCAACAAAACGUAAUCAAUGUAUUUUGAUGCUUACGAAUACAAUUUGCGUCGUGCUUCGGAGGGCACGUUAAGCCGUCGGUCCCGGCUGUCGCACGAACACCUGACAGCUGUAUUGGGUAGUUGGUGGUAAAACUACCCGCCACUAGUCUAUCUCGGAAUCUGGUAGACCUACACAACAGGUUGCGGAGCUGAGCAGCCACACUCCAAAAGCUUCGCGUAAAAUACUAAGUUCCGAGCACAGGCUAGGCGACGUGACAUAUGAGUCAGGGAAAUGUCCUCUCGACAUACUGAUGAUUAUGAAGUCCAACAUAUUUAUACACGAUAUUAAUGCGAUUAAUACCUAUAGACGAAUAGUGAUCGGAUAGUGAGUACAGUGUGUUGCUACUUCUGUGGUAAACAAAUACAAAUAGGACAUCACCACCUCGUCCACAAGUUCGUGUUAAUUCGUUACAUGUGACGAUAUUAAUUCAUUAAUAUAAUAACGUGUGUAAAUUAACCGAAUGGUACGUUGACCUACAGAAAGUACAGGUGUAUAGGUUACUCGAUAGUCGUAAAAUCAAUCAAAUAAUUGGUUCAAAUGAACAACGGAUCUAUGUGUGUUUGGCUGUCAUUAAUUCAUUAGUGUACGUGUAUAGAUUUAAUUAUUGCUAUAAUUAGUCGUGACGUCGUGCUUCGGAGGGCACGUAAAGCCGUCGGUCCCGGCCGUCGCGGACACCUGACAGCCGUCACGGGUAGUUCCGAGUUAACAAGUAACUACCCACAACUAGGCUCACUCGUCCGAUGCACCGAUAAGUCGGGUCUCGGAAGUCGCUCAUCUUUAUGAUUAACGUUAUUUACUGGAAUCGCGAGUGAAGCCUAGUAACAUUCACACACGAGUCAGGGAAAUGUCUCGAUAUACUGACGAGUGUGUUGGAACCCGACCGGGGUAGCUAUACCCAGAUGGAGAUACUUCAUUGUAUAGAAUAAGGCUGUUAAUGUGGGACUAGACUUUCUUGUGUAGCUCGUCUAGUCCCAUCCUAAUAGUUAAAACAUAGAUAUAACAUUAGCUAUAAGCAAAAAUGAAACAUGCGAAAGAGCCUUCUCUUACAUAGCAUAAUGGAGCAUUUGAUUAAAUAAACAUUCCGUGCUUAGUGACUUGUAUAUAUUGCACGUGAUCAAUACUCAUAUUAUGUAGGUACGUAUUCAUAGGGAUAAAUAGAUAUAUGACAGGUUUAUGAACAGGAGUACACAUUUUUCUAGCAGUAAGGUGGCGAAAUGAGGUUCGAAAAUACGGUACUAGUCUGACUUGGACACCGGUGCACCCACUGGGUUGCGGAGAUUAGACGGUAGGCACCAGUCUCUUCGCGUAAAAUACCGGAGUCUGAGAACAGGCUAACAUUAAGUCAGCUAAACAUCUGACAAAUAGGUUAAAGUAUCUACAUUAACAUUAGUAGUUAGGAUAACUAAUAACGAUUCAUUCUAAAAUCAACGUUUCUCCGAAUAAUUUAUGUUUAGAGUAGAGAUUUGAGAUAUACUCAUUUUAGUGUUAAGGAUCUUAUUUAAUAUAUGAUCAAAUUCAAUGGUAAUAUAGAAAUAAUGGCACUUUAACAUCAAAUGGCUUGGGCACUAUAACAACAUUCAGAUAAACAAUCUACCAAUCUCAGUAAUUUACUAAUUUACGCAAUUAAUAUAUAAACUAACCUAGUUUUAAUUAUCUGAUGAUAUUGGAAGUACUGUAGUAAGAAAUAAGUAAUCCAUGAUGAUUGCAUUAAUGAUUGAGUAAAUGAUAAUCGUGUGACCUGCGUAAUGGUCUAAAGUAAACCAUAUGGACUGUAAGAAGUAGUUUAGAAUAUAAGUUAGCAGUAAGAGUCAAUACCACAGCAACCCUGUGAUUUUGAAUGAUGAGUAAGUGACGAGUGGUGUCUGUAAUCAAUAUGUCAUAGUUGUGUCCACUGCAUGCUGAAUUUCAUACAAUAGUUAAUAUAAAAUACUUCGUAGUUUCAGAAACAUAAUAACUGUAGUAGAACUAUGCUUAAAGAUACAUUUUGAAUGUGAGAUCAACAUCUAAUUAGUUAAGAUAAUUCAAUGGUACUCUUGUAUAUAUCCAGUACCAUUGCUAGGUUAUAAAAGUAGAUAUAUGUUUCAAUUUAAUCUGCAUUAAAAUGAUUGUAGUUUGCACGUGUAUGUAGAGAAAUACACACACUAUUUCCUUUAUUUACAAGUAUUUAUUGGAAAUAGUGUAUUUAGAAAUUAAGAUUUAGGUAUACCAAUUCUAUUCAUUAAUUAAACCUUUAAAUAUUAGGAGCUUACUUGAUUGAAAUACUUUACAUAUGUGGUGUUCAUAAGGAAUAUUCGUCAGCAUAAUAUGUUUUUCUUAAACGUAGGAUUAACUUAAACGAUGAUUGAUGUAAUAGUUAGUAAGAAUUGUAGUUAAUUCUCAAUUCAAUAAACUUGGUGUUGUGAACA